rnacentral:tRNA from 8 species
UGGGUCGUUAGCUCAGUUGGUAGAGCAGUUGACUUUUAAUCAAUUGGUCGCAGGUUCGAAUCCUGCACGACCCACCAU